rnacentral:rRNA from 1 species
GCGAAGCCUGAUCCAGCCAUGCCGCGUGAAUGAUGAAGGCCUUAGGGUUGUAAAAUUCUUUCAGCAGGGAAGAUAAUGACGGUACCUGCAGAAGAAGCCCCGGCUAACUCCGUGCCAGCAGCCGCGGUAAUACGGAGGGGGCUAGCGUUGUUCGGAAUUACUGGGCGUAAAGCGCUCGUAGGCGGAUUGGUCAGUCAGGGGUGAAAGCCCGGAGCUCAACUCCGGAACUGCCUUUGAUACUGCCAGUCUUGAGUUCGGGAGAGGUGAGCGGAAUACCGAGUGUAGAGGUGAAAUUCGUAGAUAUUCGGUGGAACACCAGAGGCGAAGGCGGCUCACUGGACCGAUACUGACGCUGAGGAGCGAAAGCGUGGGGAGCAAACAGGAUUAGAUACCCUGGUAGUCCACGCCGUAAACGAUGAGAGCUAGUUGUCUGGCAGCAUGCUGUUAGGUGACGCAGCUAACGCAUUAAGCUCUCCGCCUGGGGAGUACGGCCGCAAGGUUAAAACUCAAAU